rnacentral:lncRNA from 1 species
UGGGAGGGCUGCUGCCCUGCAGCCGUUCCCCGCAGCGAGGCUGCUGCUGCUCCCCCCGGGCUGCCCGGGAGGGGGGUCCCCGGGCGGGGGUGCGGAGCUGCCGAGCCCCGCGGCCGUGCAUCUCCAGCAAUUUUAAUUAAGAGUCAGGGAUGCGCUCCGGAGCAAGCCCUCGACCCCUGGCUCUACAUGCCUACGGGUGAGGUUUUCCUCUGCCCUUGGCCGCGCACCUCGGGGAGAUGGAGAGCUCAGCUCGCUCCUGUGCGCCCUGGAGGCUACGCUCUGCUCCCGCAGGAGCCUCCGGCACCAAGCGGAGCCCAGCCUCGAGGCGAGGCCGAGCCUCCGAGCUGGCCUCGGGGCGGGGAGGCUCGCCCGGCCCCGGGAGGUGCCUGCCCCGGGUUGGUACCCCGGGCACAGCCUGGCACCCGGCGCUGUUUACCCAUGACUCAGGGCCAGGAUGCUUUUCUGCCAUCUUCAGUUGAAAUCUAAGCUACACAUUGAAGAUCAAUUUCUAGCCAACACACACCUUUUCCGAGCAAAUGAUUUUGGUCCCCAUUCAACAAAGUAAUAAUAAGAUAAUAUUUGCAGAGCCAUCUGAAACCAAUUUUCAAAAGCAGCUUAGACUAGGUGUACAAAGGUUCUUACACACCUAUGUCCAAAAUAUGGAUUCUCAAAACGCCUGUGCA